rnacentral:rRNA from 1 species
GACGAACGCUGGCGGCGUGCUUAACACAUGCAAGUCGAACGGAAAGGCCCUGCUUUUGUGGGGUGCUCGAGUGGCGAACGGGUGAGUAGCACGUGAGUAACCUGCCCUUGACUUUGGGAUAACUUCAGGAAACUGGGGCUAAUACCGGAUAGGAGCUCCUGCUGCAUGGUGGGGGUUGGAAAGUUUCGGCGGUUGGGGAUGGACUCGCGGCUUAUCAGCUUGUUGGUGGGGUAGUGGCUUACCAAGGCUUUGACGGGUAGCCGGCCUGAGAGGGUGACCGGCCACAUUGGGACUGAGAUACGGCCCAGACUCCUACGGGAGGCAGCAGUGGGGAAUAUUGCACAAUGGGCGGAAGCCUGAUGCAGCAACGCCGCGUGCGGGAUGACGGCCUUCGGGUUGUAAACCGCUUUCGCCUGUGACGAAGCGUGAGUGACGGUAAUGGGUAAAGAAGCACCGGCUAACUACGUGCCAGCAGCCGCGGUGAUACGUAGGGUGCGAGCGUUGUCCGGAUUUAUUGGGCGUAAAGGGCUCGUAGGUGGUUGAUCGCGUCGGAAGUGUAAUCUUGGGGCUUAACCCUGAGCGUGCUUUCGAUACGGGUUGACUUGAGGAAGGUAGGGGAGAAUGGAAUUCCUGGUGGAGCGGUGGAAUGCGCAGAUAUCAGGAGGAACACCAGUGGCGAAGGCGGUUCUCUGGGCCUUUCCUGACGCUGAGGAGCGAAAGCGUGGGGAGCGAACAGGCUUAGAUACCCUGGUAGUCCACGCUGUAAACGGUGGGUACUAGGUGUGGGGUCCAUUCCACGGGUUCCGUGCCGUAGCUAACGCUUUAAGUACCCCGCCUGGGGAGUACGGCCGCAAGGCUAAAACUCAAAGGAAUUGACGGGGCCCCGCACAAGCGGCGGAGCAUGCGGAUUAAUUCGAUGCAACGCGUAGAACCUUACCUGGGUUUGACAUGGAUCGGGAGUGCUCAGAGAUGGGUGUGCCUCUUUUGGGGUCGGUUCACAGGUGGUGCAUGCCUGUCGUCAGCUCGUGUCGUGAGAUGUUGGGUUAAGUCCCGCAACGAGCGCAACCCUUGUUCACUGUUGCCAGCACGUUAUGGUGGGGACUCAGUGGAGACCGCCGGGGUCAACUCGGAGGAAGGUGGGGAUGACGUCAAGUCAUCAUGCCCCUUAUGUCCAGGGCUUCACGCAUGCUACAAUGGCUGGUACAGAGAGUGGCGAGCCUGUGAGGGUGAGCGAAUCUCGGAAAGCCGGUCUCAGUUCGGAUUGGGGUCUGCAACUCGACCUCAUGAAGUCGGAGUCGCUAGUAAUCGCAGAUCAGCAACGCUGCGGUGAAUACGUUCCCGGG